GAGACUGAGGCCCUCAUCAGACACUGAACCUACAGGCACCAUGAUCUUGGAUUUUCCAGCCUUCAAAGCUGUGAGGAGAAACAAAAGAAAGAAAACCUGAGCUGAGUAAGAAUAAAACUAAUGCUGGAGCAGGGUUAUGAGAGGCACUCCCCAGCACUAGCAUCACCGCCUCAGCUCCACCUCGGAUCAUCAGGAGUUAGAUUAUCACAAGGAGCAUGCAACUAGAUUCCUCACCUGCACAGCUUACAGUAAGAUUUGCACUCCUAUGAGAAUCUAAUGCCACCACUGAUCUGAUAGGAGGCAGAGCUUACAAGGUAAUGUGACUGAUGGGGAACAGCUAUAAAUACAGAUGAAGCUUCACUGGCUAGCCCACCACCCAACUCAUGCUGCGUGCCUCAAUUCCUAACAAGCCAUGGACUAGUAAUACUAGUCCACAGCCUGGGGCUUGAGGAUGGCAGCUCUAAGCCAUCAGCUUCUCUCUGAGGAAGUACUGCAAUCUGAUGAAUAGUUUAUGAUUUUUAACCAGGUCCUCUUUGUCAUGGACCAUGGUAAAGUUUUAUAG